rnacentral:piRNA from 1 species
UAGACUGGAUGCCCUGAAGAUAGACUUUGU